CUCGUGAGGCGCUGCAUGAGCUUGCAUCAUGGAGCAGGUGCAUGGCGAGGGCAGAGCAGCAGGCCACAGCCAGGCACACAGAAGGUGACUGGCCAACUCCCAGGAAGGCUCCCUGGGGUGUAGGGCAUCAUCUCCUGGGUGCCAUUGCAGCUUGCCAGGCCAGGGUGGACUUGGGCCAUGUGGGCAGGGCCCAGCUAUGGAGUCUGACCACUGACUGGAUGUCAGGUGUGGUGGAGAGGGGAUAGCAGGGCCAGGUGGACAUUGGGCAGGAGUCCAGGACGGCUCUGAGGCUCUGGUCUGGGCAACUGUGAGGAUGAAGCAGCCACCUGUCAACAUGAGGACCAGGUUUGUGGGGAAGACCUGGUCAGUUUUGAGCCCAUUAGCCUGACAAGCCGUAGGCCACAGGAGAAGGGGUCACCAGGGUGGAGGUUGCAUCGCAUGUGCCUGCUGGGUGGAGGCCCAGCUGGGGGCACUGGUCACAGUGGUGUCCUCUAUGACAGCAGCGAAGCUGGACCCAGGAGGGUGGCGGUCAGGGAGUGGAGGGGCAGUGGAGAUCCCAGGGGAACCCACUAUAGUGGGAGGAGGCUGGGUAGUGGAGGAGGGGGCCAAAUGAGUGCACAGAGUGGCCGGGCAGCUGGCUCUAUAUGCCACAGGGAUUGAGCCACAACUUCAGAGACGGGGGCUCCAGGGAGGCUGCUCAGGAAGUAACCCUGCAAGGCAGAGUCCCAGGCAGCCACACAGCCCAUCCAUGUGAGGUUUGAUCUACACCAACCCUCACCGUGCUAGUCCACUGAGCUCUCUCUGUGCUUGAGCUGAUGCCUUUCAGGGGAUGAGCUGCCAGUCUGGGGCACACACCAAGUGGGGAGACAGACACAGACUCCAGGUGGCAGCUUCAAGAACGAGUGAUUUAAGAAUAGCCCUCCCAUCUUAGCAAUGUCCCGGGGUGGCUGGAGCCACGGUCACUUCUUGGUCCUGGUCCAGAACUGUCGGUAGCGCUCCACAUGCAAGUCAUCACUGAGCUCCUGCUCGUACUCCUUCCUCGACUGGAGCUGAGCCUCACGCUUCCGCAGCCUGGCCCGGCGCUCCUCAGGAGACAGGGUGUCCAGAUCUAUGGGCAUCUGCAGGGGACAGACCAAGUUUCGUCCAUGUGGAUCGAGGGACCUUGAGAGCUACUGGGGGGACAGCCCAAGGCCUUCCUCUCAACUUAUGUCUUCCAUCCUAUGCUAGCUUAAUUUUCAAACAUUCUUAUUGGUCUCUCCCUUCAAAGCUUUCAAUCUUUAAAAUAAAUUGUUCUGUGUUUUCCCCA